UUGACCUCAGAUCAGGUAGGAAUACCCGCUGAACUUAAGCAUAUCAAUAAGCGGAGGAAAAGAAACCAACAGGGAUUGCCCUAGUAACGGCGAGUGAAGCGGCAACAGCUCAAAUUUGAAAUCUGGCGCAAGCCCGAGUUGUAAUUUGUAGAGGAUGUUUCUGGCGACGUGCCUUCCGAGUUCCCUGGAACGGGACGCCAUAGAGGGUGAGAGCCCCGUACGGUUGGAUGCCUAGCCUCUGUGAAACUCCUUCGACGAGUCGAGUAGUUUGGGAAUGCUGCUCUAAAUGGGAGGUAUACGUCUUCUAAAGCUAAAUACCGGCCAGAGACCGAUAGCGCACAAGUAGAGUGAUCGAAAGAUGAAAAGCACUUUGAAAAGAGGGUUAAAAAGUACGUGAAAUUGUUGAAAGGGAAGCGUUCAUGACCAGACUUGGGCAGGUUGAUCAUCCGUGGUUCUCCGCGGUGCACUCUGCCUGCCCAGGCCAGCAUCAGUUCGCCCUGGGGGAUAAAGGCUUCGGGAAUGUGGCUCCUCCGGGAGUGUUAUAGCCCGCUGCGUAAUACCCUGGGGC
rnacentral:rRNA from 1 species